GCCGGGGUGGCGGAAUUGGUAGACGCACAGGACUUAAAAUCCUGUGGGCGCUUGCGCCCGUGCCGGUUCGACUCCGGCCCUCGGUA
rnacentral:tRNA from 1 species